rnacentral:misc_RNA from 1 species
GAUGAGAACGUAGCGAAAUGCGAAAAGUAAUGUGAAUUGCAGAAUUCAGUGAAUCAUCGAAUCUUUGAACGCACAUUGCGCCCGCCAGUAUUCUGGCGGGCAUGCCUGUCUGAGCGUCAUUUCAACCCUCACGCCCCUAGGGCGUGGUGUUGGGGAUCGGCCAAGGCCCGCAAGGGACGGCCGGCCCCUAAAUCUAGUGGCGGACCCAUCGUGGCCUCCCCUGCGAAGUAGUAAUAUAUUCCGCAUCGGAUAGCGAUGAGCCCCUGCCGUUAAACCCCCAACUCUUUCAAGGUUGACCUCAGAUCAGGUAGGAAUACCCGCUGAACUUAAGCAUAUCAAUAAGCGGAGGA